rnacentral:rRNA from 1 species
AGAGUUUGAUCAUGGCUCAGGAUGAACGCUAGCUACAGGCUUAACACAUGCAAGUCGAGGGGAAACGACAUCGAAAGCUUGCUUUUGAUGGGCGUCGACCGGCGCACGGGUGAGUAACGCGUAUCCAACCUGCCCAUCACUUGGGGAUAACCUUGCGAAAGUAAGACUAAUACCCAAUGACGUCUCUAGAAGGCAUCUGAAAGAGAUUAAAGAUUUAUCGGUGAUGGAUGGGGAUGCGUCUGAUUAGCUUGUUGGCGGGUAACAGCCACCAAAGCAACGAUCAGUAGGGGUUCUGAGAGGAAGGUCCCCCANAUUGGAACUGAGACACGGUCCAAACUCCUAGGGAGCA